rnacentral:rRNA from 1 species
CCUUCCCUCUUUCUUCGUGCCUAAUACAUGCAAGUCGAGCGAACGGACGAGAAGCUUGCUUCUCUGAUGUUAGCGGCGGACGGGUGAGUAACACGUGGAUAACCUACCUAUAAGACUGGGAUAACUUCGGGAAACCGUAGCUAAUACCGGAUAAUAUUUUGAACCGCAUGGUUCAAAAGUGAAAGACGGUCUUGCUGUCACUUAUAGAUGGAUCCGCGCUGCAUUAGCUAGUUGGUAAGGUAACGGCUUACCAAGGCAACGAUGCAUAGCCGACCUGAGAGGGUGAUCGGCCACACUGGAACUGAGACACGGUCCAGACUCCUACGGGAGGCAGCAGUAGGGAAUCUUCCGCAAUGGGCGAAAGCCUGACGGAGCAACGCCGCGUGAGUGAUGAAGGUCUUCGGAUCGUAAAACUCUGUUAUUAGGGAAGAACAUAUGUGUAAGUAACUGUGCACAUCUUGACGGUACCUAAUCAGAAAGCCACGGCUAACUACGUG